rnacentral:rRNA from 1 species
UGUGUAGGCGGUUCCCUAAGUUUGGUGUGAAAUCUCCCGGCUCAACCGGGAGGGUGCGCCGAAAACUGGGGGGCUAGAGUGCGGGAUGGGAGAGUGGAAUUCCUGGUGUAGCGGUGAAAUGCGUAGAUAUCAGGAGGAACACCGGUGGUGUAGACGGCUCUCUGGACCGUAACUGACGCUGAGACACGAAAGCGUGGGUAGCAAACAGGAUUAGAUACCCUGGUAGUCCACGCCCUAAACGAUGCAUAUUUGGUGUAGGUCAUUCAUUUGAUCUGUGCCGGAGCUAACGCGUUAAAUAUGCCGCCUGGGGAGUACAGUCGCAAGGCUGAA